rnacentral:rRNA from 1 species
UUGGGACCUUGAAUAUCAGAACAAGACUACCCCGGCUGUACCUUAUACCAUAAUCAAAUAAGGUUGUAAGGAAUAUCU